GUCUUUUAAUUGAAGACUGGUAUGAAUGGUUGGAUGAGAAAUAUACUUUCUUUAUUUUAUAUAAAAAAAUUGAUUUUUUAGUUAAAAAGCUAAAAUAUUUUUAUAGGACGAGAAGACCCUAUAGAACUUUACUUUGAUAUAAAUAUACUAUUUAUAUAUUUUUAAAAUUUUAUAUUUUUAUUAAAGUUUUGUUGGGGUGACAAAAAAAAUUAUAUAACUUUUUUUUAUUAAAUCAUUAAUUUAUGUUUUUUUGAUCCUUUAUUAUGGAAAAUAAGAUUAAGUUACCUUAGGGAUAACAGCGUUAUUUUUUUGGAGAGUUCAUAUUGAUAAAGAAGUUUGCGACCUCGAUGUUGGAUUAAAAUAAGUUACAGGGGUAUAAUAUUGUAUACUAGGUCUGUUCGACCUUUAAAUUUUUACA
rnacentral:rRNA from 2 species